AUUGAACGCUGGCGGCAGGCCUAACACAUGCAAGUCGAGCGGAUGACGGGAGCUUGCUCCUUGAUUCAGCGGCGGACGGGUGAGUAAUGCCUAGGAAUCUGCCUGGUAGUGGGGGACAACGUUUCGAAAGGAACGCUAAUACCGCAUACGUCCUACGGGAGAAAGCAGGGGACCUUCGGGCCUUGCGCUAUCAGAUGAGCCUAGGUCGGAUUAGCUAGUUGGUGGGGUAAUGGCUCACCAAGGCGACGAUCCGUAACUGGUCUGAGAGGAUGAUCAGUCACACUGGAACUGAGACACGGUCCAGACUCCUACGGGAGGCGGCAGUGGGGAAUAUUGGACAAUGGGCGAAAGCCUGAUCCAGCCAUGCCGCGUGUGUGAAGAAGGUCUUCGGAUUGUAAAGCACUUUAAGUUGGGAGGAAGGGCAGUAAGCUAAUACCUUGCUGUUUUGACGUUACCGACAGAAUAAGCACCGGCUAACUCUGUGCCAGCCGCCGCCGUAA
rnacentral:rRNA from 1 species